AUGGAAAUUCCUCCUAGACUUUCUACACCAAGGACUGUUGGGAAGGUUUGUAGAUUGAGAAAAUCUCUCUAUGGUUUGAAGCAAUCGCCAAGGGCUUGGUUAGACCGGUUCAGGCAAGCAGUUUGCAGUAUGGAGUAUAAACAAUGCAAUGGAGAUCACACUGUUUUCUAUAAACAUUCCAAGCAACAGAUUACAAUUCUUGCAGUAUAUGUGGAUGACAUCAUAAUAACGGGAGACAAUGAAGAGGAGAUUGGAAGACUAAAGAAAUGCCUAGGCAAAGCAUUUGAAGUUAAGGAUCUUGGUCAGCUAAAAUAUUUCCUGGGUAUCGAAGUUGCAAGAUCAAAGAGGGGAAUAGCCCCGUCUCAGCGGAAGUAUACCUUAGAGCUCCUAAGUGAUAUGAGAAUGCUUGGAUGUAGAGCAGACCCAACUCCCAUUGAACAAAAUCACAAAUUGACAACACAGAUGGGUGAACAAGUUAACAAAGCAAAAUAUCAACAAUUGGUUGGCAAACUUCUAUAG
rnacentral:rRNA from 1 species